GUUUGAUCCUGGCUCAGAUUGAACGCUGGCGGAAUGCUUUACACAUGCAAGUCGAACGGCAGCACGGGAGCUUGCUCCUGGUGGCGAGUGGCGAACGGGUGAGUAAUGCGUCGGAACGUACCGAGUAAUGGGGGAUAACGCACCGAAAGGUGUGCUAAUACCGCAUACGCCCCGAGGGGGAAAGCAGGGGAUCGCAAGACCUUGCGUUAUUCGAGCGGCCGACGUCUGAUUAGCUAGUUGGUGGGGUAAAGGCCUACCAAGGCGACGAUCAGUAGCGGGUCUGAGAGGAUGAUCCGCCACACUGGGACUGAGACACGGCCCAGACUCCUACGGGAGGCAGCAGUGGGGAAUUUUGGACAAUGGGGGAAACCCUGAUCCAGCCAUUCCGCGUGAGUGAAGAAGGCCUUCGGGUUGUAAAGCUCUUUCAGCCGGAACGAAACGGUACGCUCUAACAUAGCGUGCUAAUGACGGUACCGGCAGAAGAAGCACCGGCUAACUACGUGCCAGCAGCCGCGGUAAUACGUAGGGUGCGAGCGUUAAUCGGAAUUACUGGGCGUAAAGCGUGCGCAGGCGGAUUGUUAAGCAAGAUGUGAAAUCCCCGGGCUUAACCUGGGAAUGGCAUUUUGAACUGGCAGUCUAGAGUGUGUCAGAGGGGGGUGGAAUUCCACGUGUAGCAGUGAAAUGCGUAGAUAUGUGGAGGAACACCAGUGGCGAAGGCAGCCCCCUGGGAUAACACUGACGCUCAUGUACGAAAGCGUGGGUAGCAAACAGGAUUAGAUACCCUGGUAGUCCACGCCCUAAACGAUGUCAACUGGUUGUUGGGGGAGUGAAAUCCCUUAGUAACGAAGCUAACGCGUGAAGUUGACCGCCUGGGGAGUACGGUCGCAAGAUUAAAACUCAAAGAAAUUGACG
rnacentral:rRNA from 1 species